rnacentral:rRNA from 1 species
UGAGUACAGUGGCUUCCGGGUGAGUAACAAAUGACUACCUACCUUCGAGUGGGGGAUAACCCCGGGAAACCUGGCCUAAUACCGCAUAACAUCGCAAGAUCAAAGGAGCAAUUCGCUGGAAGAGGGGGUCGCGGCUGAUUAGCUAGUUGGUAGGGUAAUGGCCUACCAAGGCGAUGAUCGGUAGCCGGCCUGAGAGGGCGCACGGCCACACUGGAACUGAAACACGGUCCAGACUCCUACGGGAGGCAGCAGUGGG